GAAAAACCUAAGUUAUUUACACUAAAGUCAGGUUCCUCUAAAAGACUGUGGGAACAUUCAUUCUCCACUCUCUCAGGCUCUUUUAGGUCUCUAAAGCUGACAAUGGUCUGUAGGUCAAGUUCCAACGGAAGUGAUAUUUCUGACCUAGCUCUAAAAAUAGAGCACUGGAAAAAAAAAAUCCAUCAGCUGCAAAUGGUCUGGGGACCACACGCUACCUAAGAAUUCCUUUUCCUAAGCACUGCCCUGAUAUUCUUUAUUUGCCACAAAGAGAAUUGGAGCAAGAAGACAUUUAGUAAAAUCAACAUUUGUUUGCUGGAGAAGCAACCCCCGCAACCAGAAUAAUAACCUUGGAAAGAGUUUUGGGUGAUGGGCUGAUUACAGUGACUAGAUAUAAAGGACUGACUGUGCAGCCGCCAGAAAGAAACACAUUUUUGUAAUAUCUCAGUUGUUUCCAUUGGCCUGGCCUCCCUUGCAUUCACCAUGGGAACUGAGUCAACAAGUUUGCUUGCUUUUCUUUCAGUGAUUACAGUGCAUUCUUUCUCCCUCCCCCCCAACCCCCAGAGGAAUUCUUAAAAAAAAAAAAAAGUAAAGAAAAGAAAAGAUAUCUUUUGGAAGUUAAAGGCAUGCUGAUCAAGGAAAAAAAAAAAAAAGAGGAGGGGGGUCUAAUUUUUGUCUCCAAGACUAGCCGCAAAGCAACUAGUGCAAGCUUUAUUCUGUCUGCUUUCACUGAGGACCUCAGCCUGACCUUGAGGAGCUUUCUUUCUGGGAAGUUAAGGAAUUUCCAGGAUUAGCUCAAGUCCUAAGGCUGCCAACUGUGACAAUCUACAAAAGGUCUCUUAGGUAAUGAUUCAGAUCCCACUUUUGCUCAAGGCCAAGAUAGUCCCCAGUGAAUUGAAAAUAGUUUCAUUUCCUGGACUUAGACCAGGAUCGAGACUAUACAAUGAACUAGACAGGUUAUAACUGACCCCGGAAGGAUUUCAGAAGGGCAGACUCAGCACUGCUGCCUAGGAAAGAUUCAACAACUGAUAUUAUCCAUGACAACAGAAAGGUGAUUGCAUUUGAGAAGUGAGGUUAAGAAAUGAUCUGAAACAAAUUUUAAAAAGAAUACCACUUAGAAGGGUGGGGAGGAUUGGAAGAAGGGAAAAGUCAUGAACUGAGAGCAACUGAUUUCCAUCACUGGCUUUUGGAGGAAGGCAUCUAUCUUCUGAACAGCUCCUGAACUGGACUUCUGAGUUUUCCAGCUUAAUGCCAAGUUUCCAGUGCUGGUCAGCCACCAAGUUACAGAUGGUACCAUGAUGCCAACCUGACUUCCCUGGGCAGACAAACCCACGAUGUGUCUUGAAGCCCCUCCUCCCCAGAUCCCUGCCCCACUGGGGAAAGAGAGAGACAGACUGGAAGUAUGUAUUGAACUGUCAACGUCCAUGUUCAGUGGAGAAUUAAUUACAGAAGCCAGAUCUUCCGCCUUCUGUACCCCACAAUGAUCCUGGGUCCAUACUCCUUGAGGAAUAAAGAAUAGGGAAGCUAUUAAGGGAGGGGAUUGGAUACGGAGUUCUGGUGGUGGGAAUUGUGUGGAAAUAUACCCUUCUUAUCCUACAGUCUUGUCAAUAUUUCCAUUUUAUAAAUAAAAUUUAAAAAAUUAAUACUACCAAUACUA